GACGAACGCUGGCGGCGUGCUUAACACAUGCAAGUCGAACGGAAAGGCCCCCUUGUGGGGUACUCGAGUGGCGAACGGGUGAGUAACACGUGAGUAACCUACCCUUGACUUUGGGAUAACUUCAGGAAACUGGGGCUAAUACCGGAUAGGAGCUCCUGCUGCAUGGUGGGGUUGGAAAGUUUCGGCGGUUGGGGAUGGACUCGCGGCUUAUCAGCUUGUUGGUGGGGUAGUGGCUCACCAAGGCUUUGACGGGUAGCCGGCCUGAGAGGGUGACCGGCCACAUUGGGACUGAGAUACGGCCCAGACUCCUACGGGAGGCAGCAGUGGGGAAUAUUGCACAAUGGGCGGAAGCCUGAUGCAGCAACGCCGCGUGCGGGAUGACGGCCUUCGGGUUGUAAACCGCUUUCGCCUGUGACGAAGCGUGAGUGACGGUAAUGGGUAAAGAAGCACCGGCUAACUACGUG
rnacentral:rRNA from 1 species